rnacentral:rRNA from 1 species
UGCCAGACUCCUACGGGAGGCAGCAGUAGGGAAUCUUUCACAAUGGGCGGAAGCCUGAUGGAGCAACGCCGCGUGCAGGAUGAAGGCCUUCGGGUUGUAAACUGCUUUUAUAGGCGAGAAAUAUGAUGGUAACCUAUGAAUAAGGAUCGGCUAACUACGUGCCAGCAGCCGCGGUCAUACGUAGGAUCCGAGCAUUAUCCGGAGUGACUGGGUGUAAAGAGUUGCGUAGGUGGCAUAGUAAGUAGCUAGUGAAAUCUGGUGGCUCAACCAUUCAGACUAUUAGCUAAACUGCUAAGCUCGAGACCGUUAGGGGUAACUGGAAUUUCUAGUGUAGGAGUGAAAUCCGUAGAUAUUAGAAGGAACACCGAUAGCGUAGGCAGGUUACUGGGACGGUUCUGACACUAAGGCACGAAAGCGUAGGGAGCAAACGGGAUUAGAUACCCCGGUA